UGUCCUACGGGAGGCAGCAGUAGGGAAUCUUCGGCAAUGGGGGGAACCCUGACCGAGCAACGCCGCGUGAGUGAAGAAGGUUUUCGGAUCGUAAAGCUCUGUUGUAAGAGAAGAACGUUAGCGGGAGUGGAAAAUCCGCUAAGUGACGGUACCUUACCAGAAAGGGACGGCUAACUACGUGCCAGCAGCCGCGGUAAUACGUAGGUGGCGAGCGUUAUCCGGAAUGAUUGGGCGUAAAGGGUGCGCAGGCGGUCCUGCAAGUCUGGAGUGAAACGCAUGAGCUCAACUCAUGCAUGGCUUUGGAA
rnacentral:rRNA from 1 species